CCUACGGGGGACAGCAGUGAGGAAUAUUGGUCAAUGGACGAAAGUCUGACCCAGCCAUGCCGCGUGCAGGAAGACGGCUCUAUGAGUUGUAAACUGCUUUUGUACGAGGGUAAACGCAGAUACGCGUAUCUGUCUGAAAGUAUCGUACGAAUAAGGAUCGGCUAACUCCGUGCCAGCAGCCGCGGUAAUACGGAGGAUUCAAGCGUUAUCCGGAUUUAUUGGGUUUAAAGGGUGCGUAGGCGGUCGGAUAAGUUAGAGGUGAAAUCCCGAGGCUCAACUUCGGAAUUGCCUCUGAUACUGGUCGGCUAGAGAGUAGUUGCGGUAGGCGGAAUGUAUGGUGUAGCGGUGAAAUGCUUAGAGAUCAGACAGAACACCGAUGGCGAAGGCAGCUAACCAAGCUACUUCUGACGUUGAGGCACGAAAGCGUGGGGAGCAAACAGGAUUAGAUACCCGGGUAGUC
rnacentral:rRNA from 1 species